UGCAGUCGAACGGCAGCGCGAGAGAGCUUGCUCUCUUGGCGGCGAGUGGCGGACGGGUGAGAAAUAUAUCGGAACGUGCCCAGUAGCGGGGGAUAACUACUCGAAAGAGUGGCUAAUACCGCAUACGCCCUACGGGGGAAAGGGGGGGAUCGCAAGACCUCUCACUAUUGGAGCGGCCGAUAUCGGAUUAGCUAGUUGGUGGGGUAAAGGCUCACCAAGGCAACGAUCCGUAGCUGGUUUGAGAGGACGACCAGCCACACUGGGACUGAGACACGGCCCAGACUCCUACGGGAGGCAGCAGUGGGGAAUUUUGGACAAUGGGGGAAACCCUGAUCCAGCCAUCCCGCGUGUAUGAUGAAGGCCUUCGGGUUGUAAAGUACUUUUGGCAGAGAAGAAAAGGUACCUCCUAAUACGAGGUACUGCUGACGGUAUCUGCAGAAUAAGCACCGGCUAACUACAUGCCAGCAC
rnacentral:rRNA from 1 species